rnacentral:rRNA from 1 species
GUUGGGAGCUCUCCCAUAUGGUCGACCUGCAGGCGGCCGCGAAUUCACUAGUGAUUCGUAUUACCGCGGCUGCUGGCACAGAGUUAGCCGGUGCUUAUUCUGCGGGUACCGUCAUAGCAACGAGUUAUUCGCUCGUUACCUUUCUUCCCCACCUAAAGUGCUUUACAACCCGAAGGCCUUCUUCACACACGCGGCAUCGCUGGAUCAGGGUUUCCCCCAUUGUCCAAGAUUCCCCACUGCUGCCUCCCGUAGGAGUCUGGGCCGUGUCUCAGUCCCAGUGUGGCUGGUCAUCCUCUCAGACCAGCUACGGAUCGUCGCCUUGGUAGGCUUUUACCCCACCAACUAGCUAAUCCGACGUAGGCUCACCCCAGAGCGCAAGGCCUUUCGGUCCCCUGCUUUUGAUCUCUCGAUAUCAUGUGGUAUUAGCCCGAGUUUCCUCGGGUUAUCCCACGCUCCAGGACAGAUUCCUACGUGUUACUCACCCGUCCGCCACUCGCCACCCCAUAAAGACCGAAAUCUUUACUGUGCUGCCGUUCGACUUGCAUGUGUUAGGCAUGCCCCCAGCGUUCAAUCUGAGCCAUGAUCAAACUCUAAUCGAAUUCCCGCGGCCGCCAUGGC